rnacentral:lncRNA from 1 species
AAGAUGACUUUUAUUGCUUUAUACAACUUUUGUUAUUGUUUUGCCUUAUGCCUGGCAAGCAGAAGGGAAUGUAAUGAAGCAGUAUAAUAUUUCUGUAAUACCUAUUAUUUAUAUAAAAUCUUAAAAAUACCUUAAUCCUCCUGCAGAACUUUACAGAAGGUUCAUCAGAUCUGACAAAUAACCUGUUAGUUGAUUGCCUUUAUGCUCAGGCCCAUAAUCCCGUGGAAAUAACCUGUUUUGUUCGGUAUUGUUGCUCCUCAGAAGAUCAGUUUUACAUGCCUUAUGGAUGUCUGCUGUGGUAUCAUCUGACAUCUGUGGGCCUAGGAUUUUCUCAAGUUGCCUUCCAUAGACGGCACUACAAGGACCAUUUCACUGUCCCCUUUGGCUUCUGCAUCUUGCUUCCAGUGUGAACAGACAGCCAUCCUGCAGACAUCGAGCACAUGACUGUCAUUGUGGAUCCAGUCUUCAUGGCUUCCAGAGUGCAGAUAUCCAGGAGCUUUAGUGUGUGUGUAUUAAGAUCUCACCAUUUGUGGCAUAAAGAAAUUUGUUACUUAUGACUUUUGGUAUUAGUAAGUUACUGUGCAGAGCACACAGACAGCAAUUGACCAAAAAGAGCUUUUUGGCUCAGAAGCCCACUGGAAAUGGA